rnacentral:lncRNA from 10 species
AGUCCGCUGGGUUCGGAGGAGCAGAGGCGGAAGGUCCCGGCGGCGGCGAGGAUGCGCCCCAGGGCGGGAGCGGGACGCUCCACUUUACCCUGGCUGCCCGCAACGGGCCAGGCCUGCCGUCUCUACCUCUCUACCUGUGAGUUUUUUCCCUGCAUUUACUUCAGUCUGCCGCGUCUUCUCCCCGCCCUUCUCUGUAAGACCACCUCUGAAGUGCUGUGUUCAGCAUUUGAAGACUUUAAUCAAGCUGGCAUUAUAUCAGGGAAGAGCAAAAUGAUGACGAGAACUCAAAAACAGGGCAAGUGAAGAAGGAUUGAUUAAACCUUCCAGGACUCACCUAGAAGAGAGAAAACUACUGGACUCUCUCCAAAUAUGAAAUGACCUAUCAUGUGAAGUUGAUUUGUUUCAUGUGAUGCAAACUUCAGGGAACAGAUUUAAGAUCCUGAAAAGAAGAUGCCCUUGUAGCACGACC